rnacentral:sRNA from 20 species
GUCAAUUACCCCGCCCUGAAGGGCGGAGCUUGCAAGGCGGUACGCAGGCUAGGUUGAUCAUGGGGACCGUGUAACGUCGUGAGACGUUGGUAGACGUUUAUAACAGGUCGUUAAGACGCACUCCGGGAUGCUGCCUCAGUUCCGCGACACUGCA